rnacentral:rRNA from 1 species
AACGAACGCUGGCGGUGUGCUUAACACAUGCAAGUCGAACGAGAAAGUUUCCUUCGGGAAGCUAGUAAAGUGGCGCAAGGGUGAGUAACACGUGAAUAAUCUGCCCUCGAGAUCGGGAUAACCUGAGGAAACUUAGGCUAAUACCGGAUAAGACCACAUUUCAUAUGGAAUGUGGGAAAAGGAGUCUCAAUCUUCACUCGAGGAUGAGUUCGCGGACCAUUAGCUUGUUGGUGAGAUAAAAGCUCACCAAGGCAACGAUGGUUAGCCGGCCUGAGAGGGCGAUCGGCCACACUGGAACUGAGACACGGUCCAGACUCAGUACGGGAGCAGCAGGGUAGGGGAAUUAGUUCGGCCGACUAAGGUCGGGGAACGGAAACGUCCGUAGGACCGACG